CACGGGGGGCCUACGGGAGGCAGCAGUGGGGAAUAUUGCACAAUGGGGGAAACCCUGAUGCAGCCAUGCCGCGUGUGUGAAGAAGGCCUUAGGGUUGUAAAGCACUUUCAAUAGUGAGGAAAGGUUGGUAGUUAAUACCUGCCAACUGUGACGUUAACUAUAGAAGAAGCACCGGCUAACUCCGUGCCAGCAGCCGCGGUAAUACGGAGGGUGCAAGCGUUAAUCGGAAUUACUGGGCGUAAAGCGCACGUAGGUGGUUAUUUAAGUCAGUUGUGAAAGCCCAGGGCUCAACCUUGGAAUUGCAAUUGAUACUGGGUAACUUGAGUACAGUAGAGGAGUGUGGAAUUUCAGGUGUAGCGGUGAAAUGCGUAGAGAUCUGAAGGAACAUCAGUGGCGAAGGCGACACUCUGGACUGAUACUGACACUGAGGUGCGAAAGCGUGGGUAGCAAACAGGAUUAGAUACCCUGGUAGUCCACGCCGUAAACGAUGUCUACUAGCCG
rnacentral:rRNA from 1 species